rnacentral:rRNA from 1 species
CCCUUAGAUGUCCUGGGCCGCACGCGCGCUACACUGAGUGUCUGAGAUACGAGUCUGCCUGGUCCGGCAAGGUCUAGGUAAUCGCUAAAAGACACAUCAUGCUUGGGAUAGAUUAUUGCAAAUAUUAAUCUUGAACGAGGAAUUCCUAGUAAGCGCAAGUCAACAGCUUGCGUUGAUUACGUCUCUGCCCUUUGUACACACCGCCCGUCGCUACUACUGAUUGGACGGUUAAGCUAGAUGCUGGGAGACUUUCUUUUGUGACUUCGGUUGCAACUGAAGGGCAAACAGCUUCAAGCUGAACUGGCUAGAGGAAGUAAAAGUCGUAACA